rnacentral:rRNA from 1 species
UGGGGGAUAUUGCACAAUGGGCGAAAGCCUGAUGCAGCGACGCCGCGUGGGGGAUGAAGGCUUUCGGGUUGUAAACCUCUUUCGCUAUCGAACAAGGCCCGCUUAGGGUGGGUUGAGGGUAGGUGGAGAAGAAGCGCCGGCUAACUACGUGCCAGCAGCCGCGGUAAUACGUAGGGCGCGAGCGUUGUCCGGAAUUAUUUGGCGGCAAGGGCUUGUAGGCGGCUUGUUGCGCCUGCUGUGAAAACGCGGGGCUUAACUUCGCGCGUGGAGUGGGUACGGGCAGGCUUGAGUGUGGUAGGGGUGACUGGAAUUCCAGGUGUAGCGGUGGAAUGCGCAGAUAUCUGGAGGAACACCGAUGGCGAAGGCAGGUCACUGGGCCAUUACUGACGCUGAGGAGCGAAAGCAUGGGUAGCGAACAGG